rnacentral:rRNA from 1 species
UACGGAGGGUGCAAGCGUUGUUCGGAAUUACUGGGCGUAAAGCGCGUGUAGGCGGCUUGGCAAGUCGGAUGUGAAAUCCCGGAGCUCAACUCCGGAACUGCAUCCGAAACUGCCAGGCUUGAGUCCCGGAGAGGGUGGCGGAAUUUCCGGUGUAGAGGUGAAAUUCGUAGAUAUCGGAAGGAACACCAGUGGCGAAGGCGGCCACCUGGACGGUGACUGACGCUGAGACGCGAAAGCGUGGGGAGCAAACAGGAUUAGAUACCCCCGUA